AUCCAGCUGACGAGUUCCGAAUGGAACGAAACAUGCGUUCUGAAU
rnacentral:hammerhead_ribozyme from 1 species